CCUACGGGAGGCAGCAGUGGGGAAUAUUGGACAAUGGGCGAAAGCCUGAUCCAGCAAUACCGCGUGUGUGAAGAAGGCCUUAGGGUUGUAAAGCACUUUCAAUUGGGAGGAAAACCUGCCGGUCAAUACCCGGUAGCUUGACAUUACCUUUAGAAGAAGCACCGGCUAACUCCGUGCCAGCAGCCGCGGUAAUACGGAGGGUGCGAGCGUUAAUCGGAAUUACUGGGCGUAAAGCGUGCGUAGGCGGUUCGUUAAGUCAGAUGUGAAAGCCCCGGGCUCAACCUGGGAACUGCAUUUGAAACUGGCGGACUAGAGUUUAGUAAGAGGGGGAGUGGAAUUCCAGUNAUGCGGNAANGCAUGUAGAUAUCNGAAGGAACACCAGUGGA
rnacentral:rRNA from 1 species